rnacentral:lncRNA from 1 species
ACAAAGUGUAUAGAUAUAAAAUGUCACAAGUAUCAUUAUUACAUAGCGGAAGACUUACAAAAAUAAAUGAUAACAAUAAAGUGAACUAAAUAUUAUUCCUUUGCGUCAUUAAGCUGACUAGGAGACGCCACCUAGAUAAGCUCAUACUCCUCGUUGUAAGGUUCCUCCUGGACCACCUGUUCUUCUCCUGUGUGUGUGGGGGGGUUAUAUAUCGCAAGGGUGAGCUCACAAAAGAUUAUAGCUCAACAAGUUGUGGGAAAUAAUGUGCAUGAACUCACCAAAGGUGGGAGUUCAUGUGAAGUGUAAGGCUGACCAACAAAUAAGGGUUAAAGCUGAGCAUUGCUUUAAUAAGUCGGUCAAAUUUUAUUAGCAGUUACUAAAUGUAAGUAGACACCAAACUAGAGUAAUAAUAGAUCAAAAUUAAUAGUAAAUCCCAAUGCGAUGCAAAUGACAAAUUGAAUUUAAUUCCAUAAAUUAAUCAUGCGAGAGUCCUGAGCUGCUCAUGACCGCGAGCACGGCUAGAGAUGGCAAUGGGUACCCGCGACCCGAUACUCGAUGGGUAUUUACUCUAUUAGGGUAUGUAUGUGGGCUAAAUAUUUUACCUGUGGGUCUGUUAUUGGGCAAAAAUCUUCACCCAAUGGGUAAACGGGUAUUAGAACGUUCCGCCUUCACCCAUACCUGUUAAUCCAUGGGUAUAAAAUACCCAAUAUAAACUUAGCCCAAGCAUGAACUUGGACUUUAGUCAUCCAUCUUUUUUACUAUUUAACAACCUUUUAGACCAUAAUGUCAUAGAAGAUUUAACGACAAUUUAAUGGCCAUGUAAUGGAACAUGUAAUGUGCUAUGUAGUACUAUCCUAGUGUUACUAGUUUAUCCAAUUAUCUUUGGUGUGUUGAAUGGAUGGUUAAAUGAUGCUAGAAAAUUUUGUAAUGGUGUUUAUAUGGAUAUACUUGACAUUUGUAUAGUAUAAUAUUUUGAUAGAUGUUUAAUUUUUGUGGGUACGGGUGACCCGAUGGGUGACCCAUACCCACAUGAGUAUGGGUAUGGGGGUAAAUCCAUACCCACCAGUGUAUAUGGGUGACCCGGUGGGGUUAUUUUUGUGUCAUGGGUAUGGGGUAGUAAUACCCGAUGGGUAUUUACCCAUUGCCAUCUCUAAGCACGGCUAGUAUACCAGUUUUACACUCUGCAGAGGUUGUACCCUGUACCCACAAGCCAUAUAUCCCGUCUAGCCUGGGUUUGCAAGGCCCUUAGACACUGCGAGGUGAAUGGCUAGGGAUCCACUACGAGGCCUUUACAAAGUACCACUAGCUUUAGAAAACCCGCAACAGUUUCUAGAAAGUGAAAUGCAGGAAUCCCCCGUCUUAACGGCAUCGCAGCAAAAUUAACCCGAGAACCUCCCUACAUGCCUACUCCCCUACUGCCCUUGCCCCUUUCGGGUAAGGUAGUCCUCUACUAACUUUCCUAGUUAGUGAGCCAAGGGCGUCCAAUUCCACCCUUUUGGUGGCACAUGUUUCUCAAGUUAAGCUCGACGUUCCAAUUAACAUAACUGUCUUAUCAUGAACAAAAAUAGAACAAUAAUAAAGAAUGAUCAUGUGUAAUAGUUAUCUCAACACCGAAAACCGUAUAUAGCAAUAGCAAAGACUACCCAAAAGUUCAGGGGUAAACAAGGUGAAAAGAUAACCAUACUAGGGUGGCCUAUUGUGUCCCAUCUAAAUUAAGCCUAUGCAUGAUAAAAUAAUUAUAGAGAACAUUAUUGGGUAAACGAAAAUGGUCAAGGGCACAACUUGCCUUCAAUGAGCUCCGCAAGUUCUACCUGCUGAACACCUGAAUCCUCGGCCACUGGCUCGUCUACUCGUCAGAAUACAAACAAACAUGGUACAAGGGAUAAACUAACAUCACACCAAACAUGAAUAGAUAAUACAUAAUAAUAAUCUACGCAUCGAAACGAGGUCGUAGGAACAUGAAUCACUAAAUUCGGAGUUACAGAUUGCGAGUUAUGAAUUUCCAAAGGUUUUAUGUGUUUGGUACAAAAAUAAUUAAGGGGUCAAUUUUAAUACAGGUUUCAUGCUAAAACAGAGACACUAUGUGAUAAACAAUAUUAAUACCAAAUUAUAGAAAUUGGAAUGGGUCAAAAAGGAACUAAAAUAAAUUUUCUAGGAAUUAAACAAGUUUCUAUAAUUAUUUUUACAUUAAAAAUCAUUUUCUAAUUGAAUUUAUUUGGUUUUCUGUUCCUCUAUACUGCGCGCAACAAUACCGAGAACUGCAGGUGCCAUCUGUAAAGUCCUGGGCCUCUACGCAAUUACUUUACAACUGUCUAGGAUUGCGGGUUGGUUACAGGAAACUAUGGGGUUCUUUUGCAUAACAUACUCGGCCGAAGGGGUAUGAAGCCGCCCCAGCCGUUCGAUUAGCUUUCGGCCGCCAGGAUUAGACCUUCUUCAGAUCGAACCGGUACGCAUAUACGGCCACUGGAUCUAAAAUUGACGGCGCAGAUCUCAUCCGCCCCUGACACAUCACGAUCCGUCCGAUCGCGAUCCUACGUUCCACGCUCUCAUGGGUCGAGUCGCUUCGAGACUUCAAUCGUGACCGCCGGAUUACGAAUCAAUGGUCACCGUGAUUUUUCACCACCCCGACGGCGCACGGCUGACGCCGCCCGCGGACACGGCGGAGCUCUCUCCGGCGAAUCAUGCCCGAGAGCCCGCACACCCACAAGCUCUAAUCGAAUUGGUUCUACGCGAAGAGGGAAGUAUGGGGAACGAGACGAUGUGCUACUCACCCCAAAUCUGGUGUCGAGGAGAUCGGGUCGCGCCGCUCGGCGGACCAGCAGCGACGGUGAGGAAUUGACGCCGGCCUGGUGACACCAAUGCACCCCAACUUUAGGCACGAUCCCCCAUAGUGGCGUGGAGCUCCCAGCGGCGACCCAGUGCUGGGAUGGCUAGCGUUUCGCGAGGCCGAGUCACACGGCAAUGGCGGCGCGAAAAUCCUCCUCCCACCGAGCGCCUUCCUAUCUGCUAGGUUUCUGUGGUGGCUUAUGGCGACGCGAUGAAGCGACGAGGCAUAUAGGCGUGCGCACUCCGCGGAUUUCGGUGAGUUGGUG